UACGUAGGGGGCAAGCGUUGUCCGGAUUUAUUGGGCGUAAAGAGCGUGUAGGCGGCCAUACAGGUCCGUUGUGAAAACUGGAGGCUUAACCUCCAGACGUCGAUGGAAACCGUAUGGCUAGAGUCCGGAAGAGGAGAGUGGAAUUCCUGGUGUAGCGGUGAAAUGCGCAGAUAUCAAGAGGAACACCAGUGGCGAAGGCGAGUCCCUGGACAAUACCUGACACUGAGGCACGAAAGCCAAGGGAGCAAACAGG
rnacentral:rRNA from 1 species